AAAGGAACCUCCAUACUGUUCUCCACUUUUCAUGUUUAUUAAUUGUCAUUCUACUGUAAGGAAGCCUCCUUCCCCUUCCCUCCCUCCCUCCCUCCCUUCCUUCCUUCCUUCCUUCCUUCCUUCCAUCCUUCCUUCCUUCUUCCCUCUCUCCCCCUCUUCUUCCUUCCCUCCUUUUUAUUCUUAUCACUAUGGAUUCAUGGAUUUUCAUUUUAUUCAAUAGGUUAUAAUCCAUUAUUAUUAUCAAUUCUGAUGCUCACACUGUCCCAGGUUUAGCAAGUGGGAGCCCCUUCAACUUGGUUGCUGUGCCCUUUUCACAUGUCUCCAUCAGUCUUUGAGCACUCUCUUGUUUUCUGGCACCACAAGAUGUCCCAGGCUUGUGUGGUACCUUCUCUGCCCAGCUCUGGCAUCAGCCAUUUCUCUGAGACACUCUGAGUCCUUUUGGUGAAGGCUGGUAUUUAUAAACCACGAUCUGGGUACCCUGUGGGUACUGAGCAACAUUUAGUCUGAAGCCAUGAGAAAUGGAGCAACACUUACUCAUCUGUGUAUUAGUCAUGCUAACUAGCGUGACCUGGAGAAAGAAGCAUAUGUGUCACUCAUGGAGAGUCUGAUGCAGAUUAGUGGAUCCUGGGAGAUUCCAUCUUUGCAGCCCUGACGUCCCUGCACGAGGUCAUUGCUGAAGAGAAGGCCGAGGAGUCAUGCCCGUUCUUAAGAUACUUCCAGCAAGGAAUUCUGCAUCACUUUUGCUCACGCUGCCAUUUGCCAGAAGUCCAAGGGAGUCUGGGCAGCACAGGGAACACACAGUCAGUUGGUGCGCCCUUACCCCUUCUAACCACAGUAUGUUCAUUCAUGCAACAAAUGUCAACUCGGUUCCUUGUAGCCAAUCUGACUCCAAGAGGCUGAGAUGACUUCACCUCAGGUGGUUUACAGCAGGGGGAGAAAGGAGAAUCAUCUCGACGGUAGAGCACCGGAUGGAAGGGAGAGAAGACAUCAAGACACACGGACCUGUUGGGAGGCUCUGGCAACCAUGUAGGCAUGAAGCAAUGAGGACCUGAACUGGGGGUAGCAGAGGGGACAGAUGGAAGGGGUUGGCUGUUGGAGCCAUUUGAGAACAAUGAAACCAUAGUGGUUUCCUUUAUUGCAGACCGUGUGGUUGAUAUUAUUUGCUCACAAUUGUUCCUGGCCUCCUCACAUUGCUGUGGCUUCCCUGUGGACAGGGCGUUGUUCUUGCUCGCCCACUGACCUGCUUUGGUCCUGGGUGCAUGAGUUGAGUUAACAUAUGCACCAUCCAACCAGAAGCUCCAAGUAUGUGCAUGGCUGGGGCAACCCUCUUGGCUCCCACCCUGCAUCCCGAGAAGGCAAGCCCCAGGGGUAUCAGUGGCCUGGGAAUGAGGGAGUGGAGGAGCAAACUGAACCUGACCCACAGUUCGGGGCAAAGCUUCCCCAGCUGACCACAGACCAUUAGCGACAAAUAAAAGUUCGUUAUUUUAAGCCA